UACGUAGGUGGCGAGCGUUGUCCGGAUUUACUGGGCGUAAAGGGAGCGUAGGCGGACUUUUAAGUGAGAUGUGAAAUACUCGGGCUCAACUUGAGCGCUGCAUUUCAAACUGGAAGUCUAGAGUGCAGGAGAGGAGAAUGGAAUUCCUAGUGUAGCGGUGAAAUGCGUAGAGAUUAGGAAGAACACCAGUGGCGAAGGCGAUUCUCUGGACUGUAACUGACGCUGAGGCUCGAAAGCGUGGGGAGCAAACAGG
rnacentral:rRNA from 1 species